GUUGAGCGCUGAAGGUUGGUACUUGUACACCGACUGGAUGAGCAGCGAACGGGUGAUUAACGCGUGGGGAAUCUGCCUUUGAGCGGGGGACAACAUUUCGAAACGAAUGCUAAUACCGCAUAACAACUUUAAACACAAGUUUUAAGUUUGAAAGAUGCAAUUGCAUCACUCAAAGAUGAUCCCGCGUUGUAUUAGCUAGUUGGUGAGGUAAAGGCUCACCAAGGCGAUGAUACAUAGCCGACCUGAGAGGGUGAUCGGCCACAUUGGGACUGAGACACGGCCCAAACUCCUACGGGAGGCAGCAGUAGGGAAUCUUCGGCAAUGGACGAAAGUCUGACCGAGCAACGCCGCGUGAGUGAAGAAGGUUUUCGGAUCGUAAAACACAUCUGUUGGUAGAGAAGAACGUUGGUGAGAGUGGAAAGCUCAUCAAGUGACGGUAACUACCCAGAAAGGGACGGCUAACUACGUGCCAGCAGCCGCGGUAAUACGUAGGUCCCGAGCGUUGUCCGGAUUUAUUGGGCGUAAAGCGAGCGCAGGUGGUUUAUUAAGUCUGGUGUAAAAGGCAGUGGCUCAACCAUUGUAUGCAUUGGAAACUGGUAGACUUGAGUGCAGGAGAGGAGAGUGGAAUUCCAUGUGUAGCGGUGAAAUGCGUAGAUAUAUGGAGGAACACCGGUGGCGAAAGCGGCUCUCUGGCCUGUAACUGACACUGAAGCUCGGAAGCGUGGGGAGCAAACAGGAUAAAUACCCUGGUAGUCCACCCCCUAAAACAAGAGUACGCUAGAUGUAGGGAGCUAUAAAUUCUUUGUAUCGCAACUAAACCAAUAAAGCACCCCCCCUGGGGGAGGACCAACGCAAGGGUGGAAA
rnacentral:rRNA from 1 species